rnacentral:rRNA from 1 species
UACGUAGGUGGCAAGCGUUGUUCGGAAUUAUUGGGCGUAAAGGGCGCGUAGGCGGUUUGUUAAGUCGGUCGUGAAAGCCCGGGGCUCAACCCCGGAGGGUCGACCGAUACUGGCAGACUAGAGUACAGAAGAGGUAACUGGAAUUCCCGGUGUAGCGGUGAAAUGCGCAGAUAUCGGGAGGAACACCAAUGGCGAAGGCAGCUCGCUGGGACGUUACUGACGCUGAGACGCGAAAGCGUGGGGAGCAAACAGG